rnacentral:rRNA from 1 species
UAGGGAAUCUUCCGCAAUGGACGCAAGUCUGACGGAGCAACGCCGCGUGAGUGAUGAAGGUUCUCGGAUCGUAAAGCUCUGUUGCCAGGGAAGAACGGCCAGGGGAGUAACUGCCCUUGGCAUGACGGUACCUGAGAAGAAAGCCCCGGCUAACUACGUGCCAGCAGCCGCGGUAAUACGUAGGGGGCAAGCGUUGUCCGGAAUUAUUGGGCGUAAAGCGCGCGCAGGCGGUGGAUUAAGUUUGGUGUUUAAGCCCGGGGCUCAACCCCGGAUCGCACUGAAAACUGGUACACUUGAGUGUAGGAGAGGAAAGUGGAAUUCCACGUGUAGCGGUGAAAUGCGUAGAGAUGUGGAGGAACACCAGUGGCGAAGGCGACUUUCUGGCCUAUAACUGACGCUGAGGCGCGAAAGCGUGGGGAGCAAACAG